rnacentral:rRNA from 1 species
UUGNAGAAUCCCGUGAACCAUCGAGUUUUUGAACGCAAGUUGCGCCCGAAGCCAUUAGGCCGAGGGMACGUCUGCCUGGGCGUCACAC